rnacentral:rRNA from 1 species
UACGUAGGGGGCUAGCGUUGUCCGGAAUCAUUGGGCGUAAAGAGCGUGUAGGCGGCCCGGUAAGUCCGCUGUGAAAGUCGGGGGCUCAACCCUCGAAAGCCGGUGGAUACUGUCGGGCUAGAGUUCGGAAGAGGCAAGUGGAAUUCCUGGUGUAGCGGUGGAAUGCGCAGAUAUCAGGAGGAACACCUAUAGCGAAGGCAGCUUGCUGGGACGAUACUGACGCUAAGGCGCGAAAGCGUGGGGAGCGAACAGG